rnacentral:rRNA from 1 species
CCCUUAGAUGUUCUGGGCCGCACGCGUGCUACACUGAGUGGAUCAGCGGGUCAGGUUGCGCGAAAGUGUUUCCUAAUCUUGAAAUCCGCUCGUGAUGGGGAUUGACGGUUGCAAUUUUCCGUCAUGAACGAGGAAUACCUUGUAAGCGCGGGUCAUCAUCCCGCGCUGAAUACGUCCCUGCCCUUUGUACACACCACCCGUCGCUCCUACCGAUUGAGUGGUCCGGUGAGGCUUUGGGAUCUGAGCGGAAAGAGCGUUUCGCUGUUUCUGCUCGGAAAACUCAGUCGAACCUUAUCAUUUAGAGGAAGGAGAAGUCGUAACA